rnacentral:misc_RNA from 1 species
GAUGAAGAACGUAGCGAAAUGCGAUAAUUAAUGUGAAUUGCAGAAUUCCGUGAAUCAUCGAGUCUUUGAACGCACAUUGCGCCUCAUGGCAUUCCGUGAGGCAUGCCCAUCUCAGCGUUAGAAAAUAUUCUCAAAUUUUAGUUUUGUGCUAAAAUUUGGAUCAUGUCAAGGAAGCUAUUACUAUUAUUGUGAUCGCUCUUUGGAAAUUGAUAGGUCUUUGAGUUGCUACUCAUAGAACGUGAUGAAUCUUUCUUCGUUCUAUUGUAAUUCACUCUGGUAGUCCUAAAACUUGUAUGCCUGUGGCAUAUCUUGUAAUUUGACCUGAGAUUGGGUAGGGAUACCCGCUGAACUUAAGCAUAUCAAUAAGCGGAGA